GGUGAGGAAGAACAAAAGUAAUAGGGAAUGAAAAACGAUUUUUGGGGGAUAGCAACAUGAGCUAGAACCUCGUGUGACUGAGAAGGUAGCACUUUUAGAGGCUUCUUCUGGUUUGGGAGGGUUUCAGAAAAAAAAGGCCAAAAGUCUCGUUGCAAUGAGUGUGCACAGUAGGCUACAAGAUUUGAUAGCUUCAAUUUCAUACGAUGAAGUUUCAAUUUGAUACGAUGAAAUGCGAUAAACUAAAAAAGAAAGUGAAAUAAAAUAAAAUAAAAUAUUUAAAUUAAUAGAAAUAAAAUAAAAUAAA
rnacentral:lncRNA from 1 species